rnacentral:rRNA from 1 species
GAUGAACGCUGGCGGCGUGCUUAACACAUGCAAGUCGAACGAUGAAGCCCAGCUUGCUGGGUGGAUUAGUGGCGAACGGGUGAGUAACAUGUGAGUAACCUGCCCUUGACUCUGGGAUAAGCCUGGGAAACUGGGUCUAAUACUGGAUAUGACUUCUCAUCGCAUGGUGGGGGGUGGAAAGAUUUAUUGGUCUUGGAUGGACUCGCGGCCUAUCAGCUUGUUGGUGAGGUAAUGGCUCACCAAGGCGACGACGGGUAGCCGGCCUGAGAGGGUGACCGGCCACACUGGGACUGAGACACGGCCCAGACUCCUACGGGAGGCAGCAGUGGGGAAUAUUGCACAAUGGGCGCAAGCCUGAUGCAGCGACGCCGCGUGAGGGAUGACGGCCUUCGGGUUGUAAACCUCUUUCAGUAGGGAAGAAGCGAGAGUGACGGUACCUGCAGAAGAAGCGCCGGCUAACUACGUG